rnacentral:tRNA from 1 species
GGUGAGAUGUCCGAGUGGCUGAAGGAGCACGCCUGGAAAGUGUGUAUACGGCAACGUAUCGAGGGUUCGAAUCCCUCCCUCACCGCCA